AACCGGUCCCUUCGCGACGACAAACUGUGAACCCCGCCAGGCCCGGAAGGGAGCAACGGUAGCAGCGGAAUCGGGUGCCGGAGUGUGGCUGGGCGGG
rnacentral:SRP_RNA from 1 species